GGGUUGCAGGGCGCUGUCGAGAGGAGUGGUUCAGGGCUUGCGGAACUUUCCAUAACCGUCGACAAGUGCUAGGAGUGUCGACACCGGCGCGUUUGCCGCGUUUCCGGAAGCGAUCGUCAAUUUGUCAGUGACGAAAAGACAAAACCUCGCCUGUCAAGCGGCGUUUUUUUAAAUUCCGCCGAUCGUACCGCAGGCGAAGGUGAAAGGAGCGGGCGAAGGGGAAAGAAGGCGACCGCUCAUUGGGGAACAUCGUACGCUUUCUGCACGGAAAACUGAUCCACCCAGGGGACAACCACGGUGCGUUCGAACAGCGCAAUUUUGGACCGGAUCAGGCUGUCGGCAAAGAACCAUGGUUUCCUGGAAUAAGGAGACAAUAGUCAUCCAGGGAUUGUCGCAAAAAACUUGGAGGACGCUUGAGCUUCGCCUUCAAAAGUAGAACGCUAUAGCUUAUGUCAGGCCCCGUGCGCAUCGCCUUCUCA
rnacentral:lncRNA from 1 species